AUACGGAGGGUGCAAGCGUUGUUCGGAAUUACUGGGCGUAAAGCGCGCGUAGGCGGUCUGUUAUGUCAGAUGUGAAAGUCCUCGGCUCAACCGGGGAAGUGCAUUUGAAACUGGCAGACUUGAGUACUGGAGGGGGUGGUGGAAUUCCCGGUGUAGAGGUGAAAUUCGUAGAUAUCGGGAGGAAUACCGGUGACGAAGGCGACCACCUGGCCAGAUACUGACGCUGAGGUGCGAAAGCGUGGGGAGCAAACAGGAUUAGAUACCCCAGUAGUCC
rnacentral:rRNA from 1 species